GACGAACGCUGGCGGCAGGCUUAACACAUGCAAGUCGAGCGCCCACUUCGGUGGGAGCGGCAGACGGGUGAGUAACGCGUGGGAACAUGCCCUUCGGUACGGAAUAGCCCCGGGAAACUGGGUGUAAUACCGUAUACGACCUCCGGGUGAAAGAUUUAUCGCCGAAGGAUUGGCCCGCGUUAGAUUAGCUAGUUGGUGGGGUAAAGGCCUACCAAGGCGACGAUCUAUAGCUGGUCUGAGAGGACGACCAGCCACACUGGGACUGAGACACGGCCCAGACUCCUACGGGAGGCAGCAGUGGGGAAUAUUGGACAAUGGGCGAAAGCCUGAUCCAGCCAUGCCGCGUGGAUGAAGAAGGCCCUAGGGUUGUAAAGUCCUUUCGAUGGUGAAGAUAAUGACGGUAACCA
rnacentral:rRNA from 1 species